rnacentral:rRNA from 1 species
UACGGGGGGGGCAAGCGUUGUUCGGAAUUACUGGGCGUAAAGGGCCAGUAGGCGGCCAACUAAGUCCGACGUGAAAUCCCAAGGCUUAACCUUGGAACUGCGUCGGAUACUGGAUGGCUUGAAUUCGGGAGAGGGAUGCAGAAUUCCAGGUGUAGCGGUGAAAUGCGCAGAUAUCAGGAGGAACACCGGUGGCGAAGGCGGUGGUCUGGGCCGGCACUGACGCUGAGGAGCGAAAGCGUGGGUAGCAAACAGG